UCGCGGCGAGGAAAGCACGAGUAUUCAAGCGCGGCUGAGGCCCUCCUUGGCUAGUGCUGGGACAUGGAGCCCCGGCAGCCAAGGCCAACCUUGUGCAUUCCACCCACGUAGGCGCCUGGGGCCCUGGUCUUCCUCGACUGCCUCUCCACUGCCUGGAGGUCAUCAAAUGCCCCUGGACCACCUCCUACGUGCCACACGCUGUGUUGGCCAUCCAAGGUUCCAUAUUGAGCAUAAAACAGCCCUCUGCCCUAAAGGAGUUAACCUGUUGGAAUCACAUACAAAGGAUUCUGACUACCAAGCGCCUUGAAGUUAAGUUGAACUCUGAAGACAGAUUGCCUGGCUACAAAGCUCAGUUCCACUACAUAUGGUCCAGGAACUUAAGACAAAUUAUUUUAAUGUCUUUAUGUUUCACUAUCCGCUGUAGUGAAAUAGAAUAAUACCUACUCAUGGCCUGACGCGGUGGCUCAAGCCUGUAAUCCCAGCACUUCGGGAGGCUGAGGCGGGCGGAUCACCUGAAGUUAGGAGUUCGAGACCAGCCUGGUCAACAAGACGAAACCCCGUCUCUACUACAAAUACAAAAAAAUUAGCAGGGCGUGGUGGUGCGCAUCUAAUCCCAGGUACUCGGGAGGCUGAAGCAGAAGAAUCGCUUGAACCCAG
rnacentral:lncRNA from 1 species